CUACGGGCUGCAGCAGUGGGGAAUUUUGGACAAUGGAGGAAACUCUGAUCCAGGGAUACCGCGUGGGUGAUGAAGAUUUACGGAUUGUAAAGCCCUUUUAGUAGGGAAAAUAGUGAUGGUACCUACAGAAAAAGCAUCAGCUAACUCUGUGCCAGCAGCUGCGGUAUUACAGAGGAUGCGAGUGUUAUUCGGAAUCACUGGGCGUAAAGGGCACGUAGGCGGUUAUUUAAGUCCGCAAUGAAAUACCGGGGCUCAACGUCGGUGCUGUUGUGGAUACUGUUUAACUAGAGAACGGAAGAGGUGAAUAGAAUUCCUGGUGGAGAGGUGAAAUUCUUAGAUAUCAGGAGGAAUGCCAGAGGCGAAAGCGGUUCACUGGGACGUUUCUGACGCUGAGGCGCGAAAGCGUGGGGAGCAAACAGGAUUAGAUACCCUCGUAGUC
rnacentral:rRNA from 1 species